CGCUCCAUGUCAGCUGUGUGCAGCACAAAUCUGCUGCUCCAUAGUUCAUGGUAAUGAACUCAUAGCUGGACCAACGAGGCCUUUAGAUGCUCAUCUGCCAUUUUGUAUGUGUAUGUACUUCAACCCAAUCAAAGCAUAGCUUUGUGGUGAGCAUAAUCUUAAAACAGGUGCCAACCUCAAAGGUGAGCUUUCUUUUUUCAAAAUUUCACAAGACUUUUUUGAGAACGUUUCUGAAUCUGAAAGCAUUUGUUUUUCUUAUGAAAUUAUCUUCUUUUUUUUGUUGGUAUAUUGCACGGAGCUCCCUUUCUGGCUGGGACUGCUUACUGACUUAUUGCAGUAACUUCUUCAAACACUUUGAGGUGAAGGUAGAAAGUGUGUGUGAGCUGAUGUGAAUUGAGCAGCAUGGAUCAGUGUGAGGAC